rnacentral:rRNA from 1 species
UACGUAGGUGACAAGCGUUGUCCGGAUUUACUGGGCGUAAAGAGCGCGCAGGCGGUCGUUCAAGUCGAGUGUGAAAGCCCCCGGCUCAACUGGGGAGGGUCACUCGAUACUGAUCGACUCGAAGGCAGGAGAGGGUAGUGGAAUUCCCGGUGUAGUGGUGAAAUGCGUAGAUAUCGGGAGGAACACCAGUGGCGAAGGCGGCUCACUGGCCCGGUACUGACGCUGAGGCGCGAAAGCGUGGGGAGCAAACAGG